rnacentral:tRNA from 1 species
UGGAGGGUAGCUCAGUUGGCAGAGCAGCGGGUUUUGGUCCCGUAGGUCGAGGGUUCGAACCCUUCCCCUCCAGCCA